GCUCCGGCGGCCCUGCCGCCCCGGACGAGUGGUGGGCGUACCCGGUCAGGCCAAGACGCCCCGCG
rnacentral:ncRNA from 1 species